rnacentral:tRNA from 1 species
AGGGUAGUAGUUAAUUAUAACAUUUGGGUUGCAUUCAAAAAGUGUUGAGAUAUUCAACCUACCUUA